rnacentral:rRNA from 1 species
UACGUAGGGUGCAAGCGUUGUCCGGAAUUAUUGGGCGUAAAGAGCUCGUAGGCGGUUUGUUGCGUCGGCUGUGAAAUCCCGAGGCUCAACCUCGGGUCUGCAGUCGAUACGAGCAAACUAGAGUGUUGCAGGGGAGACUGGAAUUCCUGGUGUAGCGGUGAAAUGCGCAGAUAUCAGGAGGAACACCGGUGGCGAAGGCGGGUCUCUGGGCAACAACUGACGCUGCGGAGCGAAAGCGUGGGGAGCGAACAGG